AUCCCACUCAUAUUUCAAUGUAGCAAUAAUUUUUUACAGUUGUGAAGGGUUGUUUUGUGGUAAAUCAUGGAUAAUAAAAUAAAUUUAUUUUAUUAUCCGUGGUUAAAUAGAGCAUGUACAUGUAAUUUAACUUGAAUUAAUCUGCUAUGACUAUGUAUGGACUCUCCAUAAUGAUGUUGUUUUUUUUACUCUGAGUGGAUAUCCUCACCGGACAGGCUGAAAAGUUUGCAUGGUCAUGCGGUGGGACAACUACCUUGUCCAAUGUUCUGCCAACUGAGCUACGAGGCCAAGUCUGUUCAAGUGUUUGGUAUUUCAGAACUAAGUCUAGUACCUUCAAUACCAAUGUGUUUUCAGAGCAGAUCAAGAAACAUUAAAUUAUUUUCAUCUGAG